AUUAUAAACGUCACAUGCAUGUCUAGGCUGUUCUAAAGUUUAAGUCAAUUUUUCCUUAGUUCGAAGAGAAUUUGAAAGAAAUAGUUUUAAUCCACUAAUUCGAAAUGUACAACGUGAGUAAAGAAUAUUCUUGAUAACUGGAAAACUUAAUGCAGGAGUACUGAAAAGUUAAGGAUUUGAUGUGAAAAUUAUAGAGUUUUCCAUAUUCUCACAUUAUCCAGCGUGUACAAUUUUCGAGUGCCAAUUUUUGGAUAAAUGAGACCUGAUGAAAUUUGGAAAUUGGCAUUAUCCCUCCAGGU